rnacentral:rRNA from 1 species
UACAGGGGGUGCAAGCGUUGCUCGGAAUCAUUGGGCGUAAAGAGCACGUAGGCGGUCUGUUAUGUCGGAUGUGAAAGCCCUUGGCUCAACUGAGGAAGUGCAUCCGAAACUGGCAGGCUAGAGUACUAAAGAGGGUCGCGGAAUUCCCGGUGUAGAGGUGAAAUUCGUAGAUAUCGGGAGGAACACCGGUGGCGAAGGCGGCGACCUGGGUAGAUACUGACGCUGAGGUGCGAAAGCGUGGGGAGCAAACAGG